AUUGAACGCUGGCGGCAGGCCUAACACAUGCAAGUCGAGCGGAGCGGAGGACGGGUGGGUAAUGCCUAGGAAUCUGCCUGGUAGUGGGGGAUAACGUCCGGAAACGGGCGCUAGUCCAGCAUACUAUCAGCUGAGCCUAGGUCGGAUUAGCUAGUUGGUGGGGUAAAGGCCCACCAAGGCGACGAACCGUAACUGGUCUGAGAGGCUGAUCAGUCAAACUGGAACUUAGACACGGUCCAGACUCCUACGUGCGUCAGCAGUGGGGAAUAUGGGACAAUGGGCGAAAGCCUGAGCCAGCCAUGCAGCGUGUGUGAAGAAGGUCUUCGGAUUGUAAAGCACUUUAAGUUGGGAGGCGUUACCAACAGAAUAAGCACCGGCUAACUUCGUGCCAGCAGCCGCGGUAAUUC
rnacentral:rRNA from 1 species